GAUUGUGGCUUGUGUCGUGUUAUCAAGAAAUGUCCAUAUUUUUAAGUAGACGUAUUCGUGUGAAAUAGAAACGCGCUAGGAAGGUCCACAUGUUAUCUUAUCUGAACCUGUUCUAAUAAUGCAAAGUAUGUUACAUCAUAAAUCUCAGAUAGUUUAAGUAAAAGUGAAAUCUUAUCACGUUUUCGUUGGUGGUAAAUAUUAAAACAAUGAUAAAAAAGGGAAUAAAUAAUAUAUAAACAUCUGAUUUUGUAUUAAUGCUUAACAUUGCACGCUAGAGUGAUUUUGUUUCGUUUCUCAUCGACGGUUAAUUGCCGGCUGACCGUGAAUAACGAGUUUUUUCGUUUCGAGGAGCUCGCAUAAAUGGUGGAGAUAUCGAUCUACACUAUAAGAACGAUGACAAAGAAGGGGUGGAGGCUUACAGAGAGUGUCAUGCUUAGUGUCUCGAAUUCCUUGGAAACAGAAGCGGGGCACAGGAAACCUGAUUUACUCGCGAGCGAAGCUAGAAUAGCGAGGCCUUCGGAUGUCAGUCAUUAUAACGAUGAGUACCUACGCGCUAGAGGAAUGGCGGCACCGAGAGUCAUGUUCAGACUGACUCAGGUGCAACUUCUGCUUGAACGUGAAGUGUGUAAAAUUAUUAGCUACCGGGCAAAGUUCGCGCGGAGUCUUAAAUCAAAAUUUAAACGCGGAGAACGUUUUUGUAGAAUAGUCUCAUGUUAUUUCAUACCAACGGCAUAAACGUAACUUGCUGCUAACACCAAUUUCGUUCGUUGAACUAGUUCUAGUGUAACGAAUGAAACUUCUACAGAUUAUCAUCCUUGACAAUUGAACUGUCGUACUGCGAGCUGGAAAUUAGCAAAAUAUAAUUUCAAAUUAUAGUUACAGUCACGCACGAAAUGAUCUGAUUCGCCUCGGUCUACCCUAUAUCUGUUACAGUGGCAAACGGAUAGAGCGUCUGUGCGACCAGACCGGGAUUCACCGAGACCUUGCUGUAAAUCAGCUGCAUUUCUAGCCGAGAAUCAGUUACUGGGUCAUCUGCAACAGCUGAUUACGACAUAAUUCCUUGGGUCGAAGAGUAUGUGUAAAAAAAGUCAGUUCGAAGUUGUAAGUGUCGAUGUGACAUUUUUCAGGAGGAGGAAGAAAGUUACCCAACAUUGCGUGGAACGAUAUGUCACAAUGAUGUCAUCUCUCAACGUUAUCGGUAUUAUGGAGGACUGCUAUUAUUAAUGAUAUACUUGCGAAAGGAAAAUCGCACUUAAAUUAUCUACUACAGCCUGAGAAUGGAGAAAGGAAAUUUUUUAAUUUUGGGACUUACAGUGUUCUUUUACAAGAACUCUUUAAUUAUGGUGUAUUGUGCCUGAGCAGAACUAUUGUUCCGAAUAUCUCGGAUCAAUAGUUUUGUAAUGUUACUUAUUAAUUUCUUUUCGAUGGUUGCGACGGUUUCGAUAUUUCGAGACAAGCCAUUGUCUGAUAAUUUUCUUCCCGAUUGAACCGGGAAGAAUCACUUCAAUGUUAAUAAUUUCCCGGUAACAAAAGAAAUAUGCAUAUUCACAGAGAAAUUCAAUUUAUUGUAAAGGUUAAACAUUCAUCGACGGGAAACACAAUUGCCUUCCGACUGACGUGAAUCGAAUAAUAUCAACAUUUAUUGAAUUCAAUGUACAACCUUCGUCACGAGUCUUACACAAUAUCAUAAAAUAAGGAGUUGAAUUAAUCAAUUGACACGUAUGAAACGCAAUUUAAAAUCUUCGCCGCGUGUUCGACUCGAUAGCACAAGGGAAACGGUUACCUUGAAUUCGUAAAGUAUUUAUAUAAAAAGGUAACGAAUUAUAAUUCGAAAAUUAUAUAAAUAACGAACUAAAUUAGAAAAGAAUCACAAUAAACCACAACGAAAUUCUCAUUACACUUUCCUCCAAAUACACGUGCGUGCUAUUCACGCAAAAGAAAACCAUCGAAAAUCGUAUAAAACCGAACGUGUCAACAAUAAACGCAUUAAAGUAACAUGUCUAAACAACCUGUACUAUUCACUACUCCAUUACUAAACGCAACGUAACGAAAGCAAGCGUUCGUUCAUCUCGAUCACAAUGUUAGUAGCGAUUACGCAAUCGAAUACAGAACCGCAGUGAACACGUGGUCGAGGGUGGGACGCAUACUGAAAAACGUCCCAUUAAAUUCACACGUGAACGUCAUCAUUGCAGAAGCGCUAAACAGAUUAAAAGCAAAACUGCUGUAAUCUAGUAUAAUCCUUGCUAACUGGAGAUUCUACGUUGCACAGCAUCAACUUUCAAAUUUACUCAAAUUUCAUCCACUAUCUCCAUACUCCGUGCAGAAAAUUAAAAUCUGACGUAUACUAAAAAAGAACAAAAGAAAGGGGUAAAAGGAAGAGAUAACAUAAAUUCGUUCACAGUUGCAACUAAUGGAUUCCCUGAAAGCGAUGACAACUCGAGGAUAAAGUACCGACCGAUGUCAUUCCACUAUACUUGAAUUUGUCACCGAUAAACUAUUAGCUCAGCCGCAACAAGACUAAUUAAAAUAUGUACGGGUAUAUUAAGA